rnacentral:rRNA from 1 species
UACGUAGGGUGCAAGCGUUGUCCGGAAUUAUUGGGCGUAAAGAGCUCGUAGGCGGUUUGUCGCGUCGGCUGUGAAAACCUGGGGCUCAACCCCGGGCCUGCAGCCGAUACGGGCAAACUAGAAUUCGGUAGGGGAGACUGGAAUUCCUGGUGUAGCGGUGAAAUGCGCAGAUAUCAGGAGGAACACCGGUGGCGAAGGCGGGUCUCUGGGCCGUGACUGACGCUGAGGAGCGAAAGCGUGGGGAGCGAACAGG